rnacentral:rRNA from 1 species
GGGUUGUGAGGUUAAGCGACUAAGCGUACACGGUGGAUGCCCUGGCAGUCAGAGGCGAUGAAGGACGUGCUAAUCUGCGAUAAGCGCCGGUAAGGUGAUAUGAACCGUUAUAACCGGCGAUUUCCGAAUGGGGAAACCCAGUGUGAUUCGUCACACUAUCAUUAACUGAAUCCAUAGGUUAAUGAGGCGAACCGGGGGAACUGAAACAUCUAAGUACCCCGAGGAAAAGAAAUCAACCGAGAUUCCCCCAGUAGCGGCGAGCGAACGGGGAGGAGCCCAGAGCCUGAAUCAGCAUGUGUGUUAGUGGAAGCGUCUGGAAAGGCGCGCGAUACAGGGUGACAGCCCCGUACACAAAAGCGCAUGUGCUGUGAGCUCGAUGAGUAGGGCGGGACACGUGGUAUCCUGUCUGAAUAUGGGGGGACCAUCCUCCAAGGCUAAAUACUCCUGACUGACCGAUAGUGAACCAGUACCGUGAGGGAAAGGCGAAAAGAACCCCGGCGAGGGGAGUGAAAAAGAACCUGAAACCGUGUACGUACAAGCAGUGGGAGCCCCACCACUAAGCCAGUGGUGAACUCCACAUCCGCAUCCUUUGCUGAGGAUACGGUUAACGGAGCGAAAGCGACGUUCAACCGCAAAACAAGCAGAGGGGGCUUAGUGGUGGGGUGACUGCGUACCUUUUGUAUAAUGGGUCAGCGACUUAUAUUCUGUAGCAAGGUUAACCGAAUAGGGGAGCCG